AAAAAACCCUCGGCAGGAAAUUGGAUACAGGUAGAAUAUUUCUGGAGCAGAGGAUGGGAGUGGGAGCUAUUCUUAUAUUAAUUCAUAUAAAGUAGGAAGAUCAAACCACAUCACUCUUACUCAGAGUGUGGAGUUUGAAAACAAGCAUUCUGGAGCUGCUCCAAGGUCAUCUGCAGACUUCUACACUGAACGCUGUGCUGCAGUUACCAUGGAACAUUCUGUAGCAGUACUGGGAUGGGAAACAGUACACAGAGAUUCUCCUUAAAGCACACCGAGUAAUCAGAAGUUGGAAGAAAAUAAAUGAGCGGGCAGGGAAGAGAAAACACAUGCAUCAUUUUGACAUCUGAAGUCUGGUAUAAAGGUUGGAUACAGGCCAAAUUGAGGCAGCAGGAUCCAGUCCCCAUGCUGACUGAACCUGAUGUUUGGACGACGAUUUAGACACCGGACCAUUUUGAAAAGGUCGGGGUGCUGGGUCCCGAGGCGCGGGAUGGGCUGGUUCAGCACACUGCUCUGCAACGUUUAUUCAGCUCUGUGCUGAACUAAGGGUCUAUCAAUGGUUGUGGAUUUCAGUUCAGAAAGCUAUUUGCCUACCUUUAUUGUUUGCAUGAUUUGUUUACUCUGCACAUUGGGUGUUCAAUGGUCUUUAUUUUUAUGUUUUUUGGGUAUC